AGUGAACGCUGGCGGUAGGCCUAACACAUGCAAGUCGAACGGCAGCACAGUAAGAGCUUGCUCUUACGGGUGGCGAGUGGCGGACGGGUGAGGAAUACAUCGGAAUCUACUUUUUCGUGGGGGAUAACGUAGGGAAACUUACGCUAAUACCGCAUACGACCUACGGGUGAAAGCAGGGGAUCUUCGGGCCUUGCGCGAUUGAAUGAGCCGAUGUCGGAUUAGCUAGUUGGCGGGGUAAAGGCCCACCAAGGCGACGAUCCGUAGCUGGUCUGAGAGGAUGAUCAGCCACACUGGAACUGAGACACGGUCCAGACUCCUACGGGAGGCAGCAGUGGGGAAUAUUGGACAAUGGGCGCAGGCCUGAUCCAGCCAUACCGCGUGGGUGAAGAAGGCCUUCGGGUUGUAAAGCCCUUUUGUUGGGAAAGAAAAGCAGCAGGUUAAUACCCCGCUGUUCUGACGGUACCCAAAGAAUAAGCACCGGCUAACUUCGUG
rnacentral:rRNA from 1 species